rnacentral:ncRNA from 1 species
GUCUUCAGGGCAGGGUGAAAUUCCCGAUCGGCGGUAUAGUCCGCGAGCGCGUGAGCGCAGGAUUUGGUGUGAUUCCAAAACCGACAGUAUAGUCUGGAUGGAAGAAGACG